UACGUAGGGUGCGAGCGUUGUCCGGAAUUAUUGGGCGUAAAGGGCUCGUAGGCGGUCUGUCACGUCGGGAGUGAAAACUCAGGGCUUAACCCUGAGCCUGCUUCCGAUACGGGCAGACUAGAGGUAUGCAGGGGAGAACGGAAUUCCUGGUGUAGCGGUGAAAUGCGCAGAUAUCAGGAGGAACACCGGUGGCGAAGGCGGUUCUCUGGGCAUUACCUGACGCUGAGGAGCGAAAGUGUGGGAGCGAACAGG
rnacentral:rRNA from 1 species